rnacentral:rRNA from 1 species
UACAGGACGAACGCUGGCGGCGUGCCUAACACAUGCAAGUCGAGCGGGGACAGGGAGUAGCAAUACGAACUGUUCUAGCGGCGGACGGGUGAGUAACGCGUGAGCAACCUGUCCCAGUCAGGGGGAUAACGAGCCGAAAGGCUCCCUAAUACCGCAUGAGACCACGGCAUCACAUGGUGCAGGGGUCAAAGGAGAGAUCCGGACUGGGGGUGGGCUCGCGUCUGAUUAGCUAGUUGGUGAGGUAAAGGCCCACCAAGGCGACGAUCAGUAGCCGACCUGAGAGGGUGAUCGGCCACAUUGGAACUGAGACACGGUCCAAACUCCUACGGGAGGCAGCAGUGGGGAAUAUUGGGCAAUGGGGGGAAAAACCCCCUGACCCAGCAACGCCGCGUGAAGGAAGAAGGUCUUCGGAUCGUAAACUUCUAUCCUUGGUGAAGAUAAUGACGGUAGCCGAGAAGGAAGCCCCGGCUAACUACGUGCCAGCCGCCGC